AGCAGGCUCAUAGCGGAGGAGCCUGAUGUGGGGCUCGAUCCCAUAACGCUGGGAUCACGCCCUGAGCCGAAGGCAGACGCUUAACUGCUGUGCCACCCAGGCGCCCCUCCCCACCCCUUCUUUUGUGUAGUUAACAGUUCUUUACUUUCCUGGCCCCUCAACGCUUUUGACAGAAUGGGCUAGGGGAAGCAGUUUUACUAGACAAAGGUUUCGUCAUCCCCUGGUGUCAUUUUUUAAUUCAUGUGCUUGCUUUUGCUGUUACCUGGAAAGCCUUUCAUAUGUUCUUCUUCCCUCAGAAACAUACCCACAUUGCCUCAACGUUGCAGUUCCUGAUUACGUUUCCUGCUUUUGUGUUUUGCAUAACUGGAUUUUGCAAGUUUUUGACUGGCUUUUUUAACACCGUUUGUAGUAUUAAAUCAUGCCUUGCCUCACAGCAGCUCUGGCUGUGGCCUGAGAGUUUUCCACAUUGGACCAUGAAGGGAAUUUAAACCACCGAUUCCAAGGGGAAAAAUGAAACAUCCAAAAUAUAAGAAUAUUUUAAUCCUUCAAUCACUCUCUUAAUGACAAAGUUGAAGUUGGCCGAAUGAUAGGCAGAAUGCAAGUCACUCUCCAUGAUUGGUUAUGUUUUAUUUACUGGAGGAUAAUCUGUCUGUAUGGUCUGGCCUUUAAGACACUGGGACCUUAGGUUGCCAAAAAAAAUGUAAGUUCCUUGGACAAUUUUCUAGAGGUAAGCUAGAGUGUCACCAUCUCUUCCUAUGUAUACAUAAUAGAGCCACAUAUUCCUUACUUGCUUUUUUUUUUUUUAAAGAUUUAAUUUAUUUAUUCAACAGAGAUAGAGACAGCCAGCGAGAGAGGGUACACAAGCAGGGGGAGUGGGAGAGGAAGAAGCAGGCUCAUAGCAGAGGAGCCCGAUGUGGGGCUCGAUCCCGUAACGCCGGGAUUACGCCCUGAGCCGAAGGCAGACGCUUAACCGCUGUGCCACCCAGGCGCCCCUCCUUACUUGCUUUUUAAGUUGGAGCUGGCCAUUGAAGCUUACACUUACUCUGAUUUGACAGGAAUACAUUUUUAAAAAUCUUUUUAUUAUAAAAAGCUUUAAACAGCCACAAAAGCACAGAGUAUGACUAGCACAAAGAACACUCCUAUGCCCAUCUGCCACCCAAAUGCCACCUCAUUCACUAUGACCACUGUUCUGUAUUUCUCCCCUCUCUCUUCCCCGGCCCCCACUGAAUUAUUCUGGAAUAAAUGCCAACAUCAAAUAGGAUAGAUUCCAAAAAGGAAAACAGCUUGAAUAGUCUUCACACAGUUAAAAGGGAAGCCAUCAAUAUUCUGUUUUGACCUUUGUCUUUUUUCGGAACUUUAGAGAAACCUCACGGUGGCCUUUGCUGAGUUGUCCAAUCUGAGUCUUGGCUGGUAUUCAGUCUGUAUUACCUCUGGUUGCUGUCUAGAGACCUGUUAGUCUGUUACAUGUGAUUUCUGCUGAAUAAUGUGGGAUGAUUUGGUGACUGAUGUUAAAUUCAACUGUUUUAAAGAUGAAAGUGUUCCUGAGACUAUUUUAAAUGAUUCUGAAGCCAAUUGCAUAGGUUUAAGAAAUGAGCAAAUUUGUUGAUGUUCUUGUAAAUCGGGUUACUCACUAUGGGAGAAGGGAGAUAGAACAUGGAAGCAGAUAAAGAAGAACGCUGUUUUAUUGGUUUUGAACUGGAGAUAUUUAUAUGAGUGUGCGUGAUUGUGUGUGUAUGUGUGUGUGUGUUUUCUCUCCCUGACACCACCUUCUCUCACCCCCAACUCUGCCCCUGUCCUCUGAAAGAACCUAAAACAAUAACCUAGUAAUGAUGAGCUUACCUACAGUCCUGAGCUUGCUUUCUAAUUACUAUUUCACAGAGCCAAAGGUGUUUGGGAAAAUGGUCAAUUCCAGGUUUGAGACAGAUAGAAUAUAAGGGGAACUUGGAACAGCUUGAGUCAGAAAAGAAGAAAACACCUGAUGACUGAUGGGACACAAAAAUUGGCUUCAAGCACCAGAUUUGGGACAAUUUGAGAUUAAAGACAAGAGUGAUGAUCAUGGAUUAUGGAACAUUUGUCUCAGUCUGCUCAAGCUGCCAUAACAAGAAAACACAGACAAGGCGGCUUAAACAACAAACAGUUCCAGAGACUGGGACGUCAAAGAUCAAGGAACUGGCAGAUUUGGUGCCUGAUGAGGGCCCUCCUGGCUUUCAGACAGAUGUCUUCUUGCUCUCCUCAUGUGGUGGAGAGUGGAGGGGAGGGCACUGGUCUCUUCCUCUUCUGAGGACACUAAUCUCAUCAUGGUUGAGGGGGAGGUCUAACAUCAUGACCUCGUGUAAAUCUAAGUACUUCCCAAAGGCACUCCCUCCAAAUACCAUCACGUUGGGGAUCAGGGCCUCACUAUUUGAACUUUAAUUGGAUAUUUUAAUGAAAAGUUAUAAGGGACAUUUGGGGGCUGAAGAAGAAGUUAAGGGUGAUGUGUCUUGUCUGUAACUCACAUUCAAAUGGUUUGGCCAACACAGUGUCCCUAUGUAUUUAGAGAGUGACAGAAAGCAAAUGCAGUAAACGUUAUAACUAAUAAACUGAGGAGAGAGUGUAUAAUGUUGUACUAUUGUACUAUUCUUCCAGAUUUUCUGUAGGUUUGAAAUUUUUCAUAAUGAAACCAGGAAAACUAAAGAGACAGGAGGAAAAAAAAUGGACAAAGAAGCGGCUAAAACAACGUCUCUGUAGUGACUGGAUAAAGGUGCCUGCUUUCUGUGCUGUUUCACUCUUCCUGAAACUUCAGUCCUUGUUAGGUAUCAUGAAUUACUCCCAAAGAUGACUCUCUGCUGCAAAGUAAGCCUGGUCUUAGAUCUUGUUAAAUCCUCCUCAGAGAAGGUGAGUAACCAGCCCAAAGUCACCAAGCUAGACAUACCUGCUGCAGGAUUCAAAUCCGGGGCUCUCUAACUCUGCAGCCCAUGUCCUUGGCCACUACACCAUACUGCUUUUAAUUUAAAAAAAGAUUUUAAAUCGAGACGUCCACUUAAAAUUGGCCAAGGUUAUCCAACAAAGCUACAGUGAGCAAAUCCCAUUGUUUGUUCUCUUACAAACUAAUAUGGUCCCACAUAAGUCCAACAGAACACUGAGUGGAGCUAGAGAGCUUAGAUUUUUCACACAAAAUUGAAGUGCUUUUCUCAGUGAGACAGAAUUUGCUUUCCUUCUUUUCUCAAACCAUCUGCUUUGAUCUUUGGGGAGUCCAGAGCCUGUGUGGUAAAGCCUAGCUGGAUUAUAUGAAUACAUACAUAGGAAUAGGUGAGCUAAACAUUUUACUUGCCAAAAAGUAAAACAAACAUUGUGCCUUCUUCAGUACGGGGUAUUUAAAGCCACAGCCCUCCAGCCUUGGAAAACUACCAGCAUCAGGAUCCUCAGUCAGAAACAGCAGAAACCACUCUAGCUAGUCUAAACAAAACAGGAAUUUGUUAAAGGAUAUCAAGUGCCUCGCAGACUUCUUGGGAAGGCCAGAGAAUUAAGCUUGGAAGGCCACUCCGCUGAGAGUAACACCCAAAGCACAGAGUAGGGAUGGCUCCAGCAAGACCCCAAUGCCCCUGCCAUUGGGCACAGACACUCUAGCUCCCAGCGAUGACUUUGGGCACUGCACUAGAACAUCUGCGGCUGCUACCCCAACUGGCAAUGGUCUAGUAGAUUGCAAAAAUGGCCACAAAUUCUUCUUUUCUCCUGUGUCCAUCUAUCCAUGCUCCUUUACCAGGAAACUUCAAAUGACCUCCCACCGGAUUCUGAGCUCAGCCAAUGGGAUGUCAGGAAAGUGACGCUAGCAGAGACUUGAGAAGGCUGCGCAUGCAACGGAGCUUGUCUUCCUUUGGAACCCUGAAGCUGCCACGUGGAGAAACCCAAGCUGACCUCCGAGGUGAUGAGACAUACACGGCAGAGUCACGCCUGCUACCUGAAGCUAUGGCUUGAAAACCACCAGACAUGUAAUUUGAGGCCAACCUAGAUCUCCCAUCUAUUAGGCAACUUGCCAGUUCACCAUGGACACAUGAGUGAGCCCAGCAAUGAUCAACGAAGCUGGCACAGACCACACAGUCUGGCCGACCCACAAAAUCGCAAGUCAAAUAAAUGGCGGUUAUUAUAACUCACCAUGUUUGGGGUAUCAGCAGCAAAAGUUACCUGAUAUUAGUUUACUAAAUUCUUUCACGUACCUUCUCUCACUCUCCUCUGCUCACAGCUCUCUGAGGCACAUGGAGCAGGUUCCUUAUCUGCGUGUUCCAAGGGCGAGGACAUUGAGCCCCACAGAAGCUUAAUGACUUGCCAAAUGUCAAACUGCUAAUAAAUUUAAAAAGAUGGGUUUAGAAUGGAGGUUACCUUAACCCCCUACUCAAAAUAUACACAUCGACCAUAUUGUUUUAUUUGAGGCAAAGCAAUAGUGCAAUAUGGCUUCAGCUUAGCCAAUAGUUCUGCUAAUAUAUUCUUAUCUCCUCUGAUUAUCAUAUAAACUCUUAAAAUUCAAGAGGGGAAUCCCUCCAUCAAAAUCUGUUCCAGCAUUUAGAGGCAACUAUCAAGUAGCCAAACCGGGUAGAAUUCAGGUGAUCAUAGGGAAUAAGCAGGCAAAUAUCUCCUGCGAAGAGCGUACUUUGGAGGAAAUCAACAUUUCUUAAUCUCUGUGGAUCUCUGCUCUGGUCUCCCACUUGCUGAUAAACUCUUACAGAUACCAGUGUAGGUAACAGGACUGAACACGUUAUAGACAAAGACCUUAGGGUGAAAUUUGGGGUCAGUACUAAUACGAAGGCAAACUCUUGGUUCUGUUAAAGAGCUUAACUCAAGUUUGUCAUUAGCUAUGGUUCUAGGAGGAAUGUGCAUAGUGUUACGAAGUGGGAAUAAUAAAAUACUGUUGGUGUUCAUUAGCAGGGUUCACAAAAGCUUUCAUGGGGGUGUAGCAUUGGAGCCAGCAUUGCAGCAGGAAGAUGGGAGGACAGGGAGGUGAACAAGUCUGGCAGGAGGUUGGCUAGAAGGGGUCUGAGAAAAGGGGAAGACCCAAAUAGAUUAAGGCAGGUUUUAAGCAGGAGUGACCAGGAUAACCUUAACUGAAACAGAGAAGUGGUUCAUAAAUGCACCAAUUCUAGGAUUUGCUAAAAUCAAUGAAACAGGUACUAGCUGACAGUCUAAGGAAGAGAGAAAGGAGCUGGGGUAGUGAAACAUAAUGAGUUUCAUUUUGAGCAUGUUGGGCUUGAAGUAUCAGUAGAUUCUCUUUAUGGGCAUGUCUGUGACCAGUUAAAAACAUAGCCCUGGACCAUAAAAGAGAAGCCAGUGGGCUCAGCUAUGAUUCCUACCUUGUAGAGUUUUGUGAGAAUAAAAUAGAAUAAUAUAUCUGCAUGUCUAGUGGAGUUCUUGGCCACAGAAGAAAGCUUAAAUUACCUUUCAGUUCCUAGAAUAAACAGUUUCCUUACCCCACUUUUUCCUUCUCUGUUGGUGGUAGGGAAGCCUGACUUUGCAUGUUUCCUAGUAUCCACCAAGACUACCUGAAAGACCUUUGCCAAGUACUCAUCAUCAAGAAUGGUUUGGGAACCCCAUUCUAGAGAAAAGAGUAUGGUGGUUUUUAAAGAAUUAAAAAUAGGAUCACAAUAUUAUUCUGCAAUUCUACUUCUGAGCAUAUGGCCAAAAUAAUUGAAAGUAGGGUCCCGAAAAGAUAUUUUUACACCCAUGUUCUUAGCAGCAUUAUUCAAAAUAGCUAAAACAUGGAAACAACCCAAAUGUCCAUCAACAGAUGAAUGGAUAAACAAAAUGUGGUCUGUACAUACAAUGCAGUAUCAUUCAGCCUUAAGAAGGAAGGACAUUCUGACAUACGCUACACAGAUAAACUUUGAAGGUACCAUGCCAAGUGAAAUAAGCUAGUCACAAAAAGACAAAUACUAUAUGAUUCCACUUAUAUGAGAGUAGUCAAAUCAAAGAGACAGAACAGUGUUUGCCAGGAGCUGGGGGAGAUGGGGAGUUAAUGCUUAAUGGGUACAGAGUUUCAGUUUUGCAAGAUGAAAAGAGUUUUGGAGGUUGAUGUUGGGGAUGGCGGCAUGGCACUAUGAAUGGAUUUAAUUCUACUGACCUGUACACUAUAAAAUGGUUAAAAUAGUAAAUUUAUGUUCUAUGUAUUUUACCACAUUUUUUUUUUUGGAAAAAAAAUCACAUGACUUGGAGAGCUUCAUAAAAUACAGAUUCCUGGGCCUCACCACCCGGGUGCAGGUUCCAUAGCUCUGAAGUGGGGCUGAAAAUUUGAAAUUUCUAACAAGCUUUCAGGUGAUGCUGAUGCUGCCCAUUCCAGGGCCAUACUUUGAAUAGCACUGCCCUGGGGGGAAACAGAUUAACAAUGGGGAAGGAAGUUGAGUCACUAAAUGAUCUUAUAUAAUGGGGAAGACAGAUCAACUCUCUUAAGCCAGUGUCAGUGUAGUGUAUGUCUCCGUCAUCCAGCUUCGCUUCCAUCCUGAUUCAGUUGGUACUCAAUAAUUGCUUGUUGGGGGGCGCCUGGGUGGCUCAGUGGGUUAAGCGUCUGCUUUGGGCUCAGGUCGUGAUCUCAGGGUCCUGGGUUGGAGUCCCAUGUCGGGCUCCCUGCUCAGUGGGGAGCCUGCUUCUCCCUGUCCCUCUGCCCGUCCCCGCCCUUCCCUCUGCAGUGAGAAACUCUUGCUGCUCCCCAGCACCAGGCCAUGGGCUCCAAGGGCUGCUGCUGCUACACACACCAGUCCUUCACUGCAGGUCAGACUGCCCCCCUCCCCCGUUCCCCUAUGCCUCCAGCUAGCACCCCUUCCCAGGGAGUUAAAGGACGACUUAUCUCGCAGGGCACGAUGGGGACACAGGCUUGCUGAGAGAGCUCAAUUCCAAGUCCAGGAGCCGAAGAGACUCAUGGGCAACGUCAGACCGGGGGUGGGGGGGGGGCUGCUGUGGUGGGAAAGAAUGCUGGUCGCGACCACUUCCUUCUCUUUAUUCUGCAGAGCAGUUAAAUGCUGGCCUUGCCCGAAUAGCAUGCUGAGACCUGGACCUCAGUAAGUCCAAAACACACACCCUUUUCAGAAAUGUGUAAUGUCAUCAUUUCUUGACCAAAGGACUCCAACCACAGAGAGGCACAAAUUUUCCAUUGGGAUUUGUUCUGCUGUUCUCUUUUGGUGUCACGUAUGACUUACAUGGUUCAAACGACAUACUUCCAGUCUUACCUGACAAAGUUAUCAUCCAUCCACACCCACUUCCACCAGACACAGAGAAGACAGAGAGGAGGUCUGUGCUCUUGUCCUGAAAAUGAUUAAGCACUGGAGGAAAUAAGAAGUGACAUAAAAAAUGAGAAGUGAUCGAACUGGUUCUCUAUGUCUCCUGAAAAUCAAAGGCACGUCCAAAGCCACAUCAUAUAGAGGAGAGAAGCCCUGCAGAUCCUUAAACAUUGGAGUGGGGUGCGAGAAAAUUGUAUUUGAGAGAAACUACUCUGGCAAAGAGAUGGUAAGGGGAUCAGAGCAGGGAAAAUUCAAAACAGGGAGACUGAUGGCAGCAUGAAUCCAGACCCUGGGCGUGGUGUGGAUGUGUGCUGGGAAUGACAGCUCUCCCCUCCGAGAGCAGCGCCAGCCAGUGCGGAGAACUUGGUCUGGGAUGAGAGAUGGGGGACCUAGGGGAGGGGCUGCUACCAGUUCUGCCCUCAGCUUGUCAAUGAGAGGCUUUUAAAACAGGGGGAGUCCCCAUAGUCUAUGAGGACCUCCCUGCACCAUACAGUUUAUGACUGUCACCUUCGCCAGCCUUUGUGACCCAGAAAGUCGCUAGGCAUGUUUCCCUGCAUUCUCUGCAUGUAUCUUGGCUUAUCCCCAGGUCCUUCCAGGUUGGUGGCUAUCUAAGUCCCACCUAGAAAAGCUAUGUAAUAGUAACUAGCAUUUGUGCGGAACUUGUUCUGGGCAAGCCUUGCUCAGUUGCUUUUUAUAUUAGCAUAUGAAGUACAUACUAUUAUCGUUCUGAUUUUAUAGGUAAGGAAACUGAGGAACAGAGCAGUUAAGUAAGUUGCUUAAGGUCACACAGCUGUGAGUGGUAGAGCUGGGCUUUAAACCUAGGCAGUUGGGCUUUGGAGCCCAUGAGUUGUUAAACAACCACCAUCCCUAUCUCUCCAUUAUAAAACACACAAUAAUGUAAUGUUACAGUAAUAUAUAUGGGGAUUUCUUGACUGUGUCUGAGCCCUUAGGAGAGAGCCAAUGCAACCAGGGGGAGGGGCAGAGGGGGCUCGGGACAUCUCAGAGUGUGCUAAGGGGCUUUGGAGGAUGUCACAGCUACUGUAUACAUACAUUGCUGUCACUGUAUCUGCUUCUCUCUGAAAAGUAACAGCCACAAAGAAACACGAUAAUUUGCCACUUUAAAAAGGAGCUAGCAGCUACAGGAAUCUGGAAAUAAUAUCCCCUUAACUCAAAGGACUGAUGCAUUGGUUUAAAAGGGGUUGACUUUAAAGCUGGUAUGUGAGUUUACUGGGGCCAUUGGCAGGGAUGCUAACAAUUUAUGGAACGCAUUUUUGGAAAGGAUUAGGGGAAAAAACAUGUUGCGUCUUACAAACCCCGAGUUAGGCGAACAGCUCUAAGGGGUGAGCAUGAAGUAUCAAGCUUUCGGUAUGCAUAGUUUUUAAGGGAAUAGGUUCACCUUUUUUCUUCUCCUUCUUUGCUUUUUCAGAUCUUACUCAAAGGAUCAGAUUCAGGCCAUACCGGAUGUGCCCAAAUCAUUUCCAGCUGACGCCCAGGACAGCCCAGGAGGCCUGGCUUUGAGGGGCAGCUCCCCGAGAGGGACCCAAACAGAACCACACUAGCUAGUAGUUUCUGUUUAGGCUGACAGGCUCACUGGUUUUCUUCUGCCAGCUGAGUUUUCCAAAUGGGCUGCUGUUUACAUUCCGGCCAUGAAGUAAACUGGGGGAAAUGAAGCCCUUCAUUCUGGUUGCAUUUCCCUCCCAACUUCUCCCUCCCCACCGUAUAAAUGACUGGCUUCCCGCCAAGCAGAAAUUAUUUCCAAAGAUGGGUAAACCAAGGCACAGAGCAGUCGACGGAUGUGCCCAGGCUCUGCUUAAUUAUUAUGUAACAAAGAAAGGGAUGUCUCUAUGCCCAGAAGCAUAGAGACAUCUAUGCUUUGGAAGCCAAGAGAGUGUUAAAUCAAAAGGAAAACACCAGACUUUGUAAAGAAUCCCUCUGUUGCUAUUUCUGGGAAUUCUGCUUGGAGCCCACCUGCCCGGCCCCAGAUUUUCACUACUCCCCAAGACACAGAGAGCCUUUUAGUUCUGCAUUCACCUCUGCAUGGAGCAGGCAUGAUCAGACAAAAUACACCUGGCAGAAAGGGUUUCCAGCUGUUUCUGAAGGGCAGCAAUGUUUGCGUCAAGGACGGAAGUCGGGCUAGUAUUUCACAGGGAGGCAGUGUCUAAACUGAAAUGAGUCAAGGAGAUGUGACUGGCAGCCCAAGGCCCUGGCCCAGGCUUGCACAGGACCUCUGCCUCUGCUGUCUUGAUCUCUCACAGACAGCAGUCUGACCCCAGGCAGGGCCCUUAGACAUCCCUGCUUUCAGCCUUCAAGGCGGUUUUUUAAAAAGACUAUUUUUUAAGGGCAGUUUUAGGCUCAUAACAAAACUGAGAGGAAGGUACAGAGAUUUCCCAUAUACACCCUGUCCCCACACAUGCCCCCCAUUAUUUACAUCAUUCACCAGAGAGCUGUAUUUGUUUCCAAGGAUGGACCUACACUGACACGUCAUUAUCACCCUACGUCUAAGACCCAAAGUCUUAGGCUUCACUCUUUGUAUCAUACAUUCUAUAGAUUUGGAUAAUUAUAAUGACAUAUAUCCAUCAGUAUAAUAUCACAUGGAGUAUUUUCACUGUCCUAAAAAUCUGUGCUCUGCCUAAUGAUCCCUCCUUCCCUAACUCCCCCUCCCUGUCCAAACGCCUGGCAACCACAGAUCCUUUUACUAUCUCCAUAGUUUUGCUUUUUCCGGAAUGGCAUAUGGUUGGACUCACAGAUCAUGUAGCCUUUUCAAGUUGCCUUCUCUCACGUAGUGAUAUGCAUAUAAGGUUACACCAUGUCCUUUCAUGGCUUGCUAACUCAUUUCUUUUUCGGUGCUGAAUAAUAGUCCACGGUCUGGAUGUACCACAAUUUAUUUUCCCAUUCACCUACCGAAGGACGUCAUAGUUUUUUGUGAAGGGUAUAAUGUCUGUGUCUAGAGUUAUUUUUUCACACUUGGAUGUAUAGCUGUUCCAGGAUAAUUUGCUGAAGAAACUCUCUUUGCUCCAUCCCAUUGCCUUUGCUCCUUUGUCAAAGAUCAGUCAAUAUAUUCAUGGGGGUCUAUUUCUGGGUGCUCUGUUCUAUUCCACUGAUCUAUUUGUCUAUUCUUUUGCUAUUACUACACUUUGGUGUUGUCUACUGUAGCUUUAUAGUAAGUCUCGACAUUAGGUAGCAUCAAUCCUCCAACUUUGUUCCUCUCCUCCAAUAUUGUGUUGGCUAUUCUGGGUCUUUUACUCACCAUAUAAACUUUAAAAUCAGUAAUCAUCCUUGCCUUGUACCUGACCUUAGUGGGAAAGCUCCAAGUUUUUCACCAUGAUGUGUGAUGUACUUUCUGCUUUGAAAUCAUUUUAGAGGUUUCAAAGGAUUUGCGAAAUUAGUGCCGAGGGUUGCUGUGUGUGCUUUAUCCAGCUUUCUCCAAUGAUAGCAUCAUACAUAACCAUAAUAGACUAUUGAAACUGGAAACACCCUCUAGUUGUAUGGGUGAGAACAAAUGGAAGCUCGGGAAGGUGGGAUGACUUGCCCAGAGGCACACGCUGAGUGGAGUCAUUUGGUGUCCCCCAGCAGGCACGUUCCCCUGGGACAGACAAAGGGCAGUUUGGCCACAUCAAGGUUCUGUUUGAGUCUAGCCUCUGCCGCUUAUGAGCUUCAGACAAAUUCCUUAAACUCUGUAAGCCUCAGUUUUCUUAUCUGUACGACUGAGAUAAUAGUUAUACCUAAUUUAAAGGAUUUUUCUAGGGACUGGGUGAAGGUGUAUGCAAAACGCUUGGGACAGUGCCCGACAUAUAAUAAGAGUCCACGUUCAUUGAGGGCUUCUCUGUUCCUGGCACUGUUCUAGUGCUUUCCAUGCUACAUUAUUUGAUCAUUGUAACAACUCUAGAACACCUCACCACCAUUAUCUUGGAAAUGAGGAAAUGAGGCACAAAGAGGUCAUAGGUCUAGUGAUGGACAGGGCAGGGACUCAAGAUUAGGCAGUCUAGGCUGAGACUUUUUGCUUUCAGCCUCCCACAGUCAAGACUGAAUGAGAAAUUGCUAUUUCAGCACAUGGCCGUCCACCUGGACCCUCUGGCUGGCCGUGCAGCUUCUGUGAGCUGUUCACUGGUGCCACCUGUGUGUGAACUUGAGGCCAGGCACAGAAGCAAUCCCAAGGCACUUAUUAUUGAGCCAUCAUAAGCCUAGUGGUUAAUGAGCUACUGGAGUGACUUCACUAAGCUCUUGGGCUUCAAAGGAGCUCAGCAAUCAUCCAAUCCAAGGACCCCUACAUUUCCAUUACCAGAAACUCCUUCAUUACCUCCUUCCUUUUCUCCACCCCUUCGGCUCCCUUUGUCUCAAAAGAUUUUGCCAUCAAAAUCUUAGAUAUGUUAAUUAGCUGAGCUAUUUUUCAUUUUUAAGAAAUGAACCAAAGAUAUGUGCGAUUACCAAACUGAGAUACUGAGCAGAAAAGGGUAACCAAUGUCAUCACACCAGGCUAAUAAAAUUCUGUCACAAAGAAAACAAAACUUGACAUUUUAAUGAGCCUCUGCAGGCUUAGCAGGCAGGGGCAGGACUUCAACGUGAAUUUAAAAAUACUGAAAAUAGUUUGAGGACUCCUAAGGGUUUAGGAAUCCCAGGGACUUAAUCCAGUCCCAAAAGAUCCUAAAGAUUUCAGAAAAUCCCCUAUAAAAUGUAAAUACACUUUGUUAUGUGUGCUUAAUGUUGGCCCCAAUCCCUCUUUCGAUACCUUAAUCCCAUUCUACCUUAAUUUUUGAUAUUUACACAGGAAUCUCUAAAAUUUAAGGGUAUCCAGUUGCAUUAAAAUAUUUCUACACACAUAUGGUACCCAGGUGCAAAAUAAAUGUAGAAAUAAUUAUUUUAAAAAUAGUGGCACAUAGUUUUUUCCUUGGUCAUUCAAUUUCUGUCUACAGACCCACAUAUUAUCAGCCAUUUUCCCUUUCCUAGCUUGCCUUUAGCCCCAUUUCCCAUAUUCCUUUCUUUGCUAUUAAGUUGUAGUCCCACAAACUCUUAAUAAUCGUGUGCAAUAUUAGUCAAGGUUCUCCAGAGAAACAGAACCAAUGGUGUAUGUAUAUAUAUAUAUAUACAGAGAGAAAUAGAUUUAUCUUAAGAAAUAAGUUUAUGUGAUGGGGGAAUGGUGGACAAGUCCAAGAUUUGUAGGACAGACUGGCAUGCUGGAAACUCCAAGAGCUGACAUUAGCAGCUUAAGUCUGAAGGAAUUCUGGAGGCAGAAUUCCUUUCUGUUCCAGGGACUUCAGUCUUUUCUCUUAGGACCUUCAACUGAUUGGAUGAGGCCCACCCACAGAUGGAAAAAACUAAAAUAAAAGCAAGCUAAACACAAAAUCUUCCUUCCUCCCUUCUUUUCCCUUCGUCUCCCUUCUUCUCCCAGGUGCCUCCUUCACCACGAACCUGUUGCCUCUUCCACAGUAACAUCAAAUAGAAAGCAAUAACAUCAAAGGAAUGGUUUACUACAACAAUGAAUGUUUUCAGUCCUGGAUAGGGAUAUUGACAUUUAAGUAAAAAUAAUGUAUAUGGCGAGGCACCUGGGUGGCUCAGUCGGUUAAGUGUCUGCCUUCUGCUCAGGUCAUGAUCACAGGU